rnacentral:rRNA from 1 species
UGGGGAAUAUUGGACAAUGGGCGCAAGCCUGAUCCAGCCAUGCCGCGUGAGUGAUGAAGGCCUUAGGGUUGUAAAGCUCUUUUGUCCGGGAAGAUAAUGACUGUACCGGAAGAAUAAGCCCCGGCUAACUUCGUGCCAGCAGCCGCGGUAAUACGAAGGGGGCUAGCGUUGCUCGGAAUCACUGGGCGUAAAGGGCGCGUAGGCGGACUUUUAAGUCGGAGGUGAAAGCCCAGGGCUCAACCCUGGAAUUGCCUUCGAUACUGGGAGUCUUGAGUUCGGAAGAGGUUGGUGGAACUGCGAGUGUAGAGGUGAAAUUCGUAGAUAUUCGCAAGAACACCGGUGGAGAAGGCGGCCAACUGGUCCGAAACUGACGCUGAGGCGCGAAAGCGUGGGGAGCAAACAGG